ACGGUCUUACUAAUAAAAAAUCACUAUACAUGCGUUAUGACAAGGUGAUAGUAAUUCAGUGAAUAGAGCUUGUACAGGGCAUAAACUCCUCUUUGACCAAUAAUCGAUGUGUAUUGGUUGAAUAACAAAACGACCCUUAUUUAUUGUUACCCUGGCAACCCGCCGUGUUUGAUUGACGUUUGAUUUAAUAAUUUUGAUACGACUCAUAAUUCUAAUGUAAGUUGUAUUUAUUUUAUCAACCAAAGCAAUUAUAUACACAUUUACUCAAUAUACUAAUAACAUUUUAUUAUUUGCAGCUAAUAGAAACUCCAAAACCUCAGACAAAGAGGACUAGAAUUUUACAUAAAAAGCCGCGUUCUGCAGUACAAAAGUUAGAAGAGGCUCAAACAGAAGCGACUCGCCGAAGCUCACGAAAGGGCUAGACAGAAGCAUCUUCUAAGGCUCAAAUUGUUACAGCAGCAAUUAAAUAAAUAAUUAUAUACUUAUAAAAAAAAUAAAACCCCCGUUUUAAAUGAAA